rnacentral:rRNA from 1 species
CGAGUCUUUGACGCACAUUGCGCCCAUUGGUAUUCCUUUGGGCAUGUCUGUUUGAGCGUCAUUACAACCCUCAGCUAACCGCUGGUUUUGAGCCGGAACGGGUACCAACCCGCACCGGCUUUAAAGUUGUAAGCUCUGCUGGCCGCUCUGCCUAACCAGAACAUAGUAAAAACACUACUUGUUGGGGUGAAGCUAAGCGGUACAGCCUGAACAAAACCUACCCAUUCUAAGGUUUGACCUCAGAUCAGAUAAGGAUACCCGCUGAACUUAAGCAUAUCAAUAAGCGGAGGAAAAGAAACCAACAGGGAUUGCCUCAGUAACGGCGAGUGAAGCGGCAACAGCUCAAAUUUGAAAUCUGGAGCCUUCGGCUUCCGAGUUGUAAUUUGAAGAGGAUGUUUCGGUGCGACCUGGGCCUAAGUUCCUUGGAACAGGACGUCAUGGAGGGUGAGAAUCCCGUACAUGGCUGCAGGUNUGCUUCUAUGUGAAACUCCUUCGAAGAGUCGAGUUGUUUGGGAAUGCAGCUCAAAAUGGGUGGUAAAUUUCAUCUAAAGCUAAAUAUUGGCGGGAGACCGAUAGCGCACAAGUAGAGUGAUCGAAAGAUGAAAAGCACUUUGAAAAGAGAGUUAAACAGUACGUGAAAUUGUUGAAAGGGAAGCGCUUGCAAUCAGACUCGCCUUCAGUUGAUCAGCCUUCCUUCUGGUUGGUGCACUCUGCUGUUGGCGGGCCAGCAUCAGUUGGGGCGGUGGGACAAAGGCGGCAGGAAUGUGGCUCGCUUCGGUG